AUGCCUAAAGUAAAGACAAGCCGAGUUAAAUACCCAGAAGGCUGGGAGUUAAUUGAGCCUACACUUCGCGAACUUCAAGCCAAGAUGAGGGAAGCUGAGAAUGAUCCACAUGACGGCAAAAGAAAGUAUCAAGGAUACGCUGACCGCAAUCUAAUUGCAAAAUGGAAGAAGCCAGGUUAUGAACGCCUAUGUUGCUUGAGGUGCAUGCAGCCGCGCGAUCACAAUUAUGCCACGACUUGUGUUUGCAGAGUGCCCAAGCAUCUUAGGGAGGAGAAGGUUAUAGAGUGUGUCCACUGUGGUUGCAAGGGUUGUGCAAGUGGGGACUGA